rnacentral:ribozyme from 1 species
GCAAAGCAAAAAAAAAAAAAAAAAAAAAAAAAAAAAAAAAAA